GCAGUAAGGAAUAUUGGUCAAUGGAGGGAACUCUGAACCAGCCAUGCCGCGUGCAGGACGACUGCCCUAUGGGUUGUAAACUGCUUUUGUACAGGAAUAACCGUAUCUACGAGUAGAUACCUGAAUGUACUGUAAGAAUAAGGAUCGGCUAACUCCGUGCCAGCAGCCGCGGUAAUACGGAGGAUCCGAGCGUUAUCCGGAUUUAUUGGGUUUAAAGGGUGCGUAGGCGGCUUUAUAAGUCAGGGGUGAAAUACGGCAGCUCAACUGUCGCAGUGCCUUUGAUACUGUAGAGCUUGAAUGUGGUUGAAGAUGGCGGAAUGAGACAAGUAGCGGUGAAAUGCAUAGAUAUGUCUCAGAACACCGAUUGCGAAGGCAGCUGUCUAAGCCAUAAUUGACGCUGAUGCACGAAAGCGUGGGGAUCAAACAGGAUUAGA
rnacentral:rRNA from 1 species